rnacentral:rRNA from 1 species
CCUACGGGUGGCAGCAGUGAGGAAUAUUGGUCAAUGGGCUUACGCCUGAACCAGCCAAGUCGCGUGAGGGAAGACUGCCCUAUGGGUUGUAAAUCUCUUUUGUCAGGGAGCAACGCCGGCUACGUGUAGCCGGACUGAGAGUACCUGAAGAAAAAGCAUCGGCUAACUCCGUGCCAGCAGCCGAGGUAAUACGGAGGAUGCGAACGUUAUACGGAGGUGGUGGGGUUAAAGGGUUCGUAGGCGGAAUGCCAAGUCAGCGGUAAAAUCGCGGGGCUCAACCUCGCUCCGCCGUUGAACCUGGCGUUCUUGAGUGGGCGAGAAGUAUGCGGAAUGCGUGGUGUAGCGGUGAAAUGCAU